AGACAUCCCAUAGUAACUCUCCAGCUGGUCAGCUCCGUCCUAACAGAACUGCAGCCGUUCAAGGAUGCCAUAUGAUCUCUCAGUUGAGUGCGACAGCCCAGGACAGAACAGAUGAAUACUGGAGGUAGAUGCACUACUGAUGGCAUCAACAGGAGAGAUUUGGCUUCCUUGACCACGAAGCUGUAUUCCAAGUAGGAGGAAGAAAUAGGGUCCAUCUAAUGAAGAAGAAAAGCAUCCUAGCACAACAACUCCUAGCACAAGCCCUCCAUGAAGAGGGCUUUAAACUAGGUGAGAAGAACAUUCUGGUGCUGCCACACUCAUAGAGUUGGAGGCAUUCCCUGUGGGCUUCACUAAUGAGGGGGGGAAGCUUGCCCCAUGUAAAAUAAAUGGACUGGAAAUCAGAACUUAGAGUGGACUGGCCUUGAUGAGGACUGGCCUUGAUGAGGACUGGCCUUGAUGAGUGACCUACUGACAGUGUCUCAGCUGAGUAUAAGAGAUGCUUUAACCAAACAUAAUUAACAGACUUAAUAAAGGGGUAACAGUGGGAGAUUCAAUGGUCAGUUUCACAUACAAAGUCAGACUAGAUGGUUUAAGGCUCCCUUCUGGCCUCAAACUUGAUGGAAAAACUGCCAGAUAUACAGGAAAUAACACGUAGGUCAGGAGGGAAGUUGGAAGACUGGACUGGAGGAUAAUUGUUCUCUUUUCUGGCUAUUAUAUUUGCAUUGUCUGAUUACUGUUCCUCACACAUGCAGAAGCUUGCAGGAAGAAGCCAUCACUCUCUGCUGAGUUACAUUCAGAUUCUUACAGUGGGAGUAGUAUAUAGGCUCACCGCCCUUCAGUGGAAAUGUGACAGGUGGGUAGGACUGGAAGUCCCGCCCCCUUCACCCCACCCCCUUUCCCCUUAUAUGUUGCAUGACAUCACAAGCCUUGACCCUGACCCCAGUCAUGUGGUGCAUGACAUUGCAAGCCCUGCCCCUGACCCCAACCACGUGGUGUGUGAUAUCCCCAACCCCACCCCUGCUCCCCCAGUCACAUGGUGUGUGACAUCAGCAACUCCACCCCCACCUGCCAGUCACAUGGUGUAUGACACCACCACCAUAUGGUCCAUGACAUCAGAAGGGCAACCCAUGUGGCCUACCCCAAAGCCCACCCCCUCAUGCUGCAAGAUCCACCCUAGACCACGUGGUACAGUUGUGACCUAUCAGACCCCAGACUACUUUAGCCCCUGGGGCACAGGCAUGGCAGUGGGGGGAUGACCCCUCUAACAACCCACUCCACCACCCCUGACCAACUGGCAGGGGCUUCAGAGGCCUCAGACCUCCCCAAGAACAACACCAAACCAAUUGGAGCAAGUAGGUGGGUGGAGCUUAGGCUGCAAGCCCACCAGGUCUAUCUGCUUUCCCAAGCAAGCCCUCUUUUUGUCUGAGACUGUGCUCAGACAUGGGGGCAGACAUGGAAGAGACUGAGGAGCACGAGAUGGAUGCCAAGUCUACCAAAACAAAACCGGGUACCAUGACAGAACUCGAGCAGUCUGUAUCAGACCUGCCUAUGGAGAGCAUGGACACCUCUGUCUCAAGGGACUCUGCUGAGGUAGACGACGCCUUCGUAGAGAGCUUUCAAAACCUGCACAUUGGCACCCUGCCGAAAGUAAAGGUUUUUUGUGUGAACGGUUUUUGUUCAUGUCCAAAAGAGCAGUUUGAGACCAAAGAUUGAUGCAACAUUUUUGUCCAAAGACAAUGAUCGCUAACCCAGGCUUUGAGCCUAUGGAGGCUAUUGAGCCAGGCUACAAGGCCGUGGAGGUCACAGAGCAGGACUAUGAGCCCAUGGAGGUCUCUGAGCAGGGGUGUACUGGGGGACUAUUUUCAAAUAAAAAAGUAUCCCAACUCUGUUCAGAAGAAGGUUUCUUGUGUGACCUGGUUUUGAACAACUGUUUAAGACGAGGCUGAAGAUCUCUGUUAAUGUUGUAUUUCUUAACUGCUUAAUAAACCUUG